CCUACGGGGGGCUGCAGUCGAGAAUCAUUCACAAUGGGGGAAACCCUGAUGGUGCGACGCCGCGUGGGGGAAUGAAGGUCUUCGGAUUGUAAACCCCUGUCAUGAGGGAGCAAAUUAAAGAGAUCGUACCACAAGAGGCAGAGACGGCUAACUCUGUCCCAGCAGCCGCGGUAAUACAGAGGUCUCAAGCGUUGUUCGGAUUCACUGGGCGUAAAGCGUGCGUAGGCUGUUUCGUACGUCGUGAGUGAAAGGCGCGGGCUCAACCCGCGGACGGCACAUGAUAAUGCGAGACUAGAGUAAGGGAGAGGGAACCGGAAUUCGCGGUGUAGCAGUGAAAUGCGUAGAUAUCGAGAGGAACACUCGUGGCGAAGGCGGGUUACUGGACAUUAACUGACGCUGAGGCACGAAGGCCAGGGGAGCGAAAGGGAUUAGAUACCCUAGUAGUC
rnacentral:rRNA from 1 species